rnacentral:lncRNA from 1 species
UUAAAUUUAUGGUAAAUUUACAGUUGUCCAAACAAUAAGAAUAGCAAAGAUAUCCCGUAACUAACGAAGCAUAGCGAUACGUACAUUUUCGUAAAAUUUCAUUUAAUAAUCCAAUACGUAUAUAUGCAGUGUCGUACAUUUUUGUAGCGCCGCGGCGCCGGCGGCGAACUCUCACAGCUCACGCCGGUGGCGCGGAAGAGGAUGACGGCAGCGCCCCCGCCUCCUCCUCCUCGCGGGCCUUGCCCUGCCGG